UCGCCCAAGCUCUGCAGCGCCUCGAACCGGAUCCGGAACUGGAACCGGAACCUACCUCCGACAUCGACGAGGUCUGUACCAGAACCUACCGCCAAGAUCGACAGCUCCUCCUUACCGCCGAGACCGACAGCUCGUCCUUCACCAAACUGUAACAACAGCUCUUUCACACCCAACCCAACCCCAGAUGCCCAACAAACCUGAUCGAGAAGAUCACAUGGACGAGGAUAUACAACAGCACCUAUUGAAAGGAGCAGUGCUUUGGUUUGCGGGGCGGAGCCUUUGGUGGACAAGGCCAUGGAGCUCGACCACAUCAGUGGGACCCUUGGAGGUAAUCGAAAACCCACACCGUUCAUUUAUGAAGAUGCUUCAGAUGCAACCGAAGAAGGAAAUCGUCAUUGAGUUCGUUAAGAACGAUGACUACGAAUAUGUCCGGGUGCUUGGUGCAUUUACUUGUGUAUUACAGGUAGCGAUACUGAUGUUUACCAGUACCUAGAGCCUUUGUACAAUGAGAAGUAAAUUGGUUGAUGGACGUGGAAAGUAUCGCUCUCUUUGCUGUCCAAGAACACAACGACAGGUUUAUACUCGUCCCUAUUAUAUUUGUUUGUUUGUGUUUUACCUGAUUUUUAGUGAUUUUUUUACUUUUACCUUUUGAUGCAGAAUGGUGUGCUUGAGUUUGCGAGGGUGUGGAAUUCAAGGGAAUAAGUGGUUGUUUAAAUUUGAAUUUAACUGGGAAACCUUUGUUUUGGUUCUAAUAGUUCAAAGCAAUAUUCUUUUAAAUGUUGUGCUAUGUUCAGCAAGAUGGGUCGGAGUGCCAAUGCAUAGUCCCUGAAGAAGCUUUGAUGCUGUGAAGUUAUCAAAGGAUCAAGCACCAAAGAAGUGAGCUUUUAUGCCCCUCAGAACCAAUUGAUUUACCCAUUUUCGACUAGUGUUUAGUGUUUGUCCUAGAACCCUAUUUAUACAUAUUCACUAUUGUAUUUAGCUAAUGACAUGUUUAGGAAGAAGAGGCUGGAUGAAGUGUGCCUUGAAAGGUAUGAACAAUAUAGCCAAUCUUAUACGUACAGUCAUGGUUCUUACAAGGUGAGUUUUACAGUUGAAUUACAUAACCCUCCUUCAAAUGUGAUACUCCCAUACAUUGUCUAAUAUAUAUGUUAGAUCUUUAAGUAGAUUACUAUGGGUCAUGUAUGACAGUGGCUAUACUUUGUUUUGAUUUCUUUUUUUCUUCUGUUCUGUAUAUGUUCAAGCUUUGAUUUGGUACUAGAAAAGGGUUCACUCUUUAGCUUUUUCAGUUUCUUUGAUAAACCAAGGGUUUGAAGCUAAUUAUUGUACACAAUCUUUAUGAACAUGUCUUGUAUUUUUUUUUUCUAGUUAUUUACAGUUGAUGAAUGUAUUUAUUUACUUUGGUUUAUUUUUCAUCAUCUAUUGGAUUGCAAAUAAUUUGAAUUUUGUUGUCUAAUGAUAUGAACCGUAUGACGCAGCGGCUGAUGUUUUCCAGUGGAGGGAUAAGAAGCUAUCCAGAGGUUGAUAAUUGCACAAUGUUAGUCUUAGUUUUGUUAGUUUAGCAAGAAUGAUACCUGCAUAUACUGAAAGUAUCAGCAAUUUCAGCAUUGCAGCAGCUCAUCUCAAGAGAAACUAAUCCCCUCUAAAGUCAAGUUCUGUUUGUCACUUAUGUUUGAGGAGGGACUGCAUCCAAUGUAAUUCCAGCCUAUGUUGAAUUUCGGGGCACAUUGAGGAGUCUUACAACG